rnacentral:misc_RNA from 1 species
GGAGGAUUAUUUCUAAACAUAAAAGGAUAAGGAUAAACUUAAAUAACAUUAAUGGUUAUUUGCACACCUUGCAAUUUGGCUAUUAUCCCACACAAGCUAGAGGCUCCUAUAAAAAGAAAUUUGUAUAGGGAUACUUUAAGAACAUACUUAAAAACUUUACCAUUUUAUUCCAAGAUUAUCUAGAUAAAGUUCCUGAAUGGAAAGGGAUCUACGCAUAACAUGUAACAAUCUCUCCAAAGGCUCGUGACUUAGUUUAAGAUGAGAUGCCCUUAAUUUUGUAAACCAAGUAUUAUAUUCCAAGGCAGAAAUGAUUGGCACCAGAUCUUUUUGAUCCAAAUGAUCAAAAUCUCUUAAAUUUAGCUCUCUUGUAUCAUGAGAGAGGUAUAUUGUAUCAACAUCCUAUAAAUAUAAUUGUCUUGAAAAACGUUUAAUAAUAAUAGUAGGACAUUUUCAUAUACUUUAACAAGUUACCCAGGCUACUUCUUCUCUAUAUGGUACACCAUGUAAAUCACACAUACAUGCAUAUUGGGUUGAAAACCCCCCACAAGGUCCAGUAUGUCUUGUUGCUUCUGUACUUCUAGCUAAUUCACUACCUCUUAUACUCUGCAGUCUGCUAGCUGGUAUUACUUCUAUUUUUCUUAUAA